AUUGAACGCUGGCGGCAUGCCUUACACAUGCAGGUCGAACGGCAGCACGGGUGCUUGCACCUGGUGGCGAGUGGCGAACGGGUGAGUAAUACAUCGGAACAUGUCCUGUAGUGGGGGAUAGCCCGGCGAAAGCCGGAUUAAUACCGCAUACGAUCUACGGAUGAAAGCGGGGGACCUUCGGGCCUCGCGCUAUAGGGUUGGCCGAUGGAUGAUUAGCUAGUUGGUGGGGUAAAGGCCUACCAAGGCGACGAUCAGUAGCUGGUCUGAGAGGACGACCAGCCACACUGGGACUGAGACACGGCCCAGACUCCUACGGGAGACAGCAGUGGGGAAUUUUGGACAAUGGGCGAAAGCCUGAUCCAGCAAUGCCGCGUGUGUGAAGAAGGCCUUCGGGUUGUAAAGCACUUUUGUCCGGAAAGAAAUCCUUGGCCCUAAUACGGUCGGGGGAUGACGGUACCGGAAGAAUAAGCACCGGCUAACUACGUG
rnacentral:rRNA from 1 species